rnacentral:tRNA from 1 species
GUUUUAAUAAUUUAAUAAAAAUAUUGGUCUUGUAAAUCAAAUAUAAGGAUCCCUUUUAAAACA